UGGGGAAUUUUGGACAAUGGGCGAAAGCCUGAUCCAGCAAUGCCGCGUGUGUGAAGAAGGCCUUCGGGUUGUAAAGCACUUUUGUCCGGAAAGAAAUCCUUGGCUCUAAUACAGUCGGGGGAUGACGGUACCGGAAGAAUAAGCACCGGCUAACUACGUGCCAGCAGCCGCGGUAAUACGUAGGGUGCAAGCGUUAAUCGGAAUUACUGGGCGUAAAGCGUGCGCAGGCGGUUUGCUAAGACCGAUGUGAAAUCCCCGGGCUCAACCUGGGAACUGCAUUGGUGACUGGCAGGCUAGAGUAUGGCAGAGGGGGGUAGAAUUCCACGUGUAGCAGUGAAAUGCGUAGAGAUGUGGAGGAAUACCGAUGGCGAAGGCAGCCCCCUGGGCCAAUACUGACGCUCAUGCACGAAAGCGUGGGGAGCAAACAGGAUUAGAUACCCUGGUAGUCCACGCCCUAAACGAUGUCGAACUAGUUGUUGGGGAUUCAUUCCUUAGUAGCGUAGCUAAGCGCGUGAAGUUGACCGCC
rnacentral:rRNA from 1 species